UAGGCUGACGGUACCCUCAGAGGAAGCACCGGCUAACUCCGUGCCAGCAGCCGCGGUAAUACGGAGGGUGCAAGCGUUGUUCGGAAUUAUUGGGCGUAAAGAGCGUGUAGGCGGUBUGUUAAGUCUGAUGUGAAAGCCCGGGGCUUAACCCCGGAAGUGCAUUGGAAACUGGCAGACUUGAGUAUGGGAGAGGGAAGUGGAAUUUCGAGUGUAGGGGUGAAAUGCGUAGAUAUUCGGAGGAACACCAGUGGCGAAGGCGGCUUUCUGGACCGAUACUGACGCUGAGAGUGCGAAAGCGUGGGGAGCAAACAGGAUUAGAUACCCUGGUAGUCCACGCCGUAAACGAUGGGUACUAGGUGUUGCGGGUAUUGACGCCUGCUAGUGCCGAAGUAACGCRUUAAGUA
rnacentral:rRNA from 1 species